ACUUAAAUAGCUUAUAGAUUAGAGCGUGACACUGAAGAUGUCGAUGAGGUAUUUAUUACCUUUGAGUA
rnacentral:tRNA from 1 species